rnacentral:rRNA from 1 species
GACGAACGCUGGCGGCGUGCUUAACACAUGCAAGUCGAACGGAAAGGCCCUGCUUUUGUGGGGUGCUCGAGUGGCGAACGGGUGAGUAACACGUGAGUAACCUGCCCUUGACUUUGGGAUAACUUCAGGAAACUGGGGCUAAUACCGGAUAGGAGCUCCUGCUGCAUGGUGGGGGUUGGAAAGUUUCGGCGGUUGGGGAUGGACUCGCGGCUUAUCAGCUUGUUGGUGGGGUAGUGGCUUACCAAGGCUUUGACGGGUAGCCGGCCUGAGAGGGUGACCGGCCACAUGGUGACUGAGAUGCGGCCGAGACUCCUACGGGAGGCAGCAGUGGGGAAUAUUGCACCAUGGGCGGAAGCAUGAUGCAGCAACGCCGCGUGCGGGAUGACGGCCUUCGGGUUGUAAACCGCUUUCGCCUGUGACGAAGAGUGAGUGACGGUAAUGGGUAAAGAAGCACCGGAUAACUACG